UACGGGGGGGGCAAGCGUUGUUCGGAAUUACUGGGCGUAAAGGGUUUGUAGGUGGCUUGCUCAGUCAGACGUGAAAUCCCUCGGCCUAACCGAGGAACUGCGUCUGAUACUGCGGUGCUUGAGGAUCAGAGGGGUGCAUGGAAUUUCCGGUGGAGCGGUGAAAUGCGUUGAUAUCGGAAGGAACUCCGGCGGCGAAAGCGAUGCACUGGCUGAUUUCUGACGCUGAGGUGCGAAAGCCAGGGGAGCAAACGGG
rnacentral:rRNA from 1 species